rnacentral:rRNA from 1 species
UAGGCGUAAAUGAUGCGAGUUAAGUGUGGGGGCAUCUACGAGAUGGUCCUGUGCUGUAGGGUAGCCGUUAAACUCGCUGCCUGGGGAGUACGGUCGCAAGGCUGAAACUUAAAGGAAUUGGCGGGGGAGCACCACAACGGGUGGAGCUUGCGGUUUAAUUGGAUUCAAACGCCGGAAAUCUUACCGGGACCGACAGCAACAUGAAGGCCAGGCUGAAGACUUUGCCGGAUUAGCUGAGAGGAGGUGCAUGGCGUAGUCGUGU